AAUAAAGAAUAAUUUCCCUAGUUCUAGAGGAGUUUCCUUUGUAAUUUUAACUGUAAAACCAUUUCUAUUAUCUGACUAUACCGAGGGAACCUCGAGUUGAUACCGUGGCUAUCCUUCGAAAACAAUUAUACGAAAAUGUGAAAAAGAAAACAUGGCGACAGGCCCAUUUAGAACAGGAAACAGUUCGAUGGCAGGUAAAGGUUUGAGCCCGGGAUCACCCGACGAGAGUAAUUUGCAACAAGCGAGGAAAGCUUCAUCGUCUCAAAUAACACCAUCUGAAUUGACAAGACCUUCAAAUAUUCAAAGGAUAUUACAGAAAAAAGCCCAAGUGAAGGCGUACCCGCGCUUGAAAAAAUUAGAGAAGUUAGGAGUCUAUUCCUCUUGUAAGGCGGAUGAAAGCUGUAACUGUAAUGGAUGGAAAAACCCUAACCCUCCUCCUCAGCCUGGUACCAAAGUAGAUAUUACUCAGCCCUUUGCAAAGCUAGAAGAUUGCUGCAGAAGUUGCAGCCAUGCGCUUGGUCACCAUGUGUCUCAUUUGCAAAAUGUAUCAGAAGAUGAGCUAAACUAUUUGCUUUCUAUGGUAGUUGAUGUUGAGAAUCUAUUUAUGUGUGUCCACAAAGAAGAAGAUCCUGGGAAUAAGCAAGUGUACUUUUACUUGUUCAAGCUUCUGCGAAAAUGCAUUCUACAAAUGACCAAACCAUCUGUUGAAGGGCCACUAGGUCCGCCACCUUUUGAAAAACCAAAUAUCGAGCAGGGGGUGAAGAACUUUGUUGUUUAUAAAUUCAAACACCUUCCACAAAGAGACAGGCAAAUAAUGCACGAGCUAGCAAGAAUGUUCCUGAGAUGCCUUAAUCACUGGAAAUUGGAAACACCAAAUGCCAGGAGAAUAAGAAUACAAAACGAAGAUAUUUCAACAUACAGAAUGAAUUAUACAAGGUGGCUCUGCUAUUGCCAUGUUCCGCAUUUUUGUGACAGUCUGCAAAGGCAUGAAGUAACUUCAAUCUUUGGUCAAAACAUGUUGAAGUCAAUUUUUAGUUUGAUGAAACAACAAUUGCUUGACAGAUUUGUUGCAGAAAAAGAAAAGUUACCCCCAGAAACAAGAACAAUGGUUCUUACCUAUUUCCCAAGGUUUUUAGACUUGUUUGAGGAAGAAAUUUAUGGAAGGAACUGCCCAAUCUGGAAUGAAGAGUUUGACGCUAGGAAUGUUACAAAUCAUUACCCAGUAUCUGCGAGUGCAACAAAACUAGUCACGGACCAACUUUCCUUAUCAACUUUGUCACCACCAUCAGUCCCCUCAAUAGAGAGUCCUCUAAGUGCAGAUGCAUCAAUCACACCUUCACCAUUAGACUCAAGAACAUUCCUGAACUCGCCAAUGUCUUCCUUAAAUCCUGGAUCGGUGUCAGAUUCUUCGUUGAAACGUCCUGCUGACGAACCUCUUCCGUUCGAGUCAGAUCCAAAGAAACUACGCUUUGAAUUAGAAGGUGAUAUUCCCAUGGAUGUGCUGACGAAAAUAUUGUCUAGGACAUCAGAUCCAGAGAAAAUGGUUGGACCUGAGGGCGGUGUGUUACCAUCUCAAAUUGCCAGGGAUGAGGCAGCUAGAAGUGAAGAGCGACGAGGGCUUAUAGAGUUCCAUGUUGUAGGGAAUACUUUGUUUAGGAAACCCACAAGACAAACAAUGAUGUGGCUUGUCGGCCUUCAGAAUGUGUUUGCUUACCAGCUUCCACGUAUGCCCAGAGAAUACAUAUCAAGGCUAAUUUUUGACCCAAAACACAGAACGCUAGUGCUUAUCAAAGAUGGAAGACCUAUUGGUGGAAUCUGUUUUCGAAUGUUUCCAAAGCAAAAUUUUACUGAAAUUGUAUUCUGUGCAGUUUCAUCUAAUGAACAAGUCAAGGGGUAUGGGACCCACAUGAUGAACCAUGUGAAAGACUAUCACAUCAAACACAACGUACUAAACUUCUUGACCUAUGCUGACGAAUAUGCCAUUGGAUAUUUUAAAAAGCAAGGUUUUUGCAAGAACAUAAAGUUGGCAAAAAGUACCUAUUUUGGCUACAUUAAAGAGUACGAAGGCGCUCAUCUGAUGCAUUGUGAGAUCAACCCCAAGAUUCCGUACCGUGAAUUUUCAUUGGUUGUCAAGAAACAAAAAGAGAUUUUGAAGAAGAUCAUUGAGCUAAAGCAAAACGAAAUCCGAAUCAGGCACCCUGGUCUUUCAUGUUUUAAAGAAGGCGUACGAGAAAUACCUAUCAGCAGUGUUCCUGGCAUAGAGCUAACCGGUUGGAAGAAACUACAGAAUACCAGUGCAUUAAAAGGAAAGGUGCCACCUGUGCGACAAGUAGCAAGCACAGCAGCGAAAGAAAAAACAAUCUUGAGUCUUGACACAGUUCCAAAAGCGUGAGUUGAACUAUGUUUUUUCUUUGUUGCCUUGACUUAUGUCUAUAUGCCUUAAACAAUGUCUAUAUAUCUGGAUGAUUGAUUGGAUGACAGGGUAACCGCUGGGCAACCAAAUUUUUGCUAGAGAUUUCUAUGUUUGUUGUAAGAGUUAUGUUUUUGGAGGCUGCAUGUGGGAUACAACUGAAGGAGCUUCACAUCCCCUACUGGGGGUCACCGUUUUACCAGAAUUGUCCACCCCUGUAUGUGUAAAGAAUGCAAAAUCAAUUGCUGGAGCAGUUAAUAAAAAGGUGACAAAAAGUGAUUUACAAAAAAUGAUUUCAAAGACUCAAUUUUCAGAAAUUUAAUGGUUUCUUAAAUUUUGUCUUUUUGUGAUUGUUUUUCUCACAUUUUGUGAUUUUAAGAAUAUUGAAAGAAACACACAAAAUCUUUUGUUUUUAAGACCAAAGGUAUGAAAGGAAGCCUAGAUUGUUAGUAUGCUAGUUGUUUUCAUUUGGUUGAAUGUAAGUUAAUACAAGUAGCACACAGCUAGUAGGAAGACUUUGAGACUUAAAUAUAGUAUUCUGCUUAAUACAUUAUGUACCAGAAGGUCCGAUGCAAAAUAUUUUAGUAGAUAAAUUUUUUUUGGAAAAAAUUGCGGUCAUAUUUUCUAUACUUUGGUGUAAAUUUUGGUGAGAACUUGAAAAAUUUAGAUGGAAGAAACAAAUUUCCAUGAGAAAGGAAACGCUUUCUGUAAGUUAUUUCUGUCGUCAACAUAGAAUUAUCUGGAGUGCAAUAAUAGACAUUACAAAAAAUAGAAUUAUCAGGAGCACAAUAAUAAACGUUACAAAAAUUGAAUACUUCAAUGUCAGCCCAAUAAACGGAACUGAAGAGAGGGCAAGACUGUCAACUCAAAUUUCUUGAAUGUAGAGGGCCAGAGAAGAAAGUGAAGAUGAACAGGAUAUCUUAUUUUUUGAUGACAAAGAAAGACAAAAAACUGAAAUUGAGACACACUUUUUAUAUAAGAAUAAAGUCUAUAAGCUCAAAAAUGCUAAAGAACAAUGCAAGGCUCAUGCUUCAUUAAGACUUUUUUGUUAGUUCAAGUUUUUUGGAAAGCAAAUCAACUGCGAGUUUCACACUAUAUGUCUUGAUAUAGAUGUAUCUGACUCAAAAUCUUAAAAAUUUAAGAAUUUUGAGGCUCAGGAAAUGAAUAUCUAUUUUUAUGAAAAAUGUGUGUGUACUGGAAUGUGCAGUAAUACUCAACAAUAACAAAGUUUUUUUGCUAUGUGUAAAGUCCAUUGGUGUAAAACAAGAUUUUUCUAAAAUUUGAAAAUUUGGGUAAAAAGAGAUUUUUGUUCCAAACAAAAUUGAUGUGAUUAAUUUUACUUGCCUUGCUUCCCUGAAAAUAAAUCCCACUGAAAAUUUUGGUACUUCAUGUAGUCUAAUAACAACUUGAAAAAAUGUU